GACGAACGCUGGCGGCGUGCCUAAUACAUGCAAGUAGAACGCUAAAGGAGGAGCUUGCUUCUCUGGAUGAGUUGCGAACGGGUGAGUAACGCGUAGGUAACCUGCCUGGUAGCGGGGGAUAACUAUUGGAAACGAUAGCUAAUACCGCAUAAUAGUAGUUGUUGCAUGACAACUGUUUGAAAGGUGCAAUUGCAUCACUACCAGAUGGACCUGCGUUGUAUUAGCUAGUUGGUGGGGUAACGGCUCACCAAGGCGACGAUACAUAGCCGACCUGAGAGGGUGAUCGGCCACACUGGGACUGAGACACGGCCCAGACUCCUACGGGAGGCAGCAGUAGGGAAUCUUCGGCAAUGGACGGAAGUCUGACCGAGCAACGCCGCGUGAGUGAAGAAGGUUUUCGGAUCGUAAAGCUCUGUUGUAAGAGAAGAACAAGUGUGAGAGUGGAAAGUUCACACUG
rnacentral:rRNA from 1 species